rnacentral:misc_RNA from 1 species
UCUCCGUUGGUGAACCAGCGGAGGGAUCAUUACAGAGUUGCAAAACUCCCAAACCAUUGUGAACGUUACCUAUCCCGUUGCUUCGGCGGGCGGCCCGGGCCCCGCGCCCGGCGCCCCCCGGCCCCCCGUGGGCGCCCGCCGGAGGUAAACCAAACCCUUGAAUUGCAUGGCCUCUCUGAGUCUUCUGUACUGAAUAAGUCAAUACUUUCAACAACGGAUCUCUUGGUUCUG